AAGUCAAGGGGGCGAAGCCUGAUGCAGCGACGCCGCGUGAGGGAUGACGGCCUUCGGGUUGUAAACCUCUUUCAGUCAGGGACGAAGCGCAAGUGACGGUACCUGACAGAAGAAGCACCGGCCUAACUACGUGCCAGCAGCCGCGGUAAUACGUAGGGUGCGAGCGUUGUCCGGAUUUACUGGGCGUAAAGAGCUCGUAGGCGGUUUGUCACGUCGGCUGUGAAAACCCGAGGCUUAACCUCGGGCCUGCAGGCGAUACGGGCAGACUUGAGUACUGUAGGGGAGACUGGAAUUCCUGGUGUAGCGGUGAAAUGCGCAGAUAUCAGGAGGAACACCGGUGGCGAAGGCGGAUCUCUGGGCCAGUUAACUGACGCUGAGGAGCGAAAGCGUGGGUAGCGAACAGGAUUAGAUACCCUGGUAGUCCACGCCGUAAACGGUGGGUACUAGGUGUGGGUUACCUUCCACGUGAUCCGUGCCGCUAGCUAACGCAUUAAGUACCCCGCCUGGGGAGUACGGCCGCAAGGCUAAAACUCAAAGAAAUUUGACGGAAGGGGUUUGAAGGUUUGGUG
rnacentral:rRNA from 1 species